AACACCUCAACUCCCCUUUCUUUUUUUGAAAUGGGAGCUGGACUUGAGUGAUCCCAACGCUUUUCUCACCGAAAAGUGGCGGGUUACUUGAAAUGCAGGUGCAGCUGGACUUUUCUCUGAGCUAAAAGCAUAUCUAUUUAGUCUGCCUAAAAAACAGAUUAUUACCUUUGCUGCAGCUAACAUAAAGGAGAUUAGUUCUUGUGCUGACUGAUGCAGGAUUCACAGAGACAGCUUCGGCUGGCCUUUGUAA
rnacentral:misc_RNA from 1 species